GGUGCUGCAUGGCUGUCGUCAGCUCGUGUCGUGAGAUGUUGGGUUAAGUCCCGCAACGAGCGCAACCCUUGUCUUUAGUUGCCAUCAUUCAGUUGGGCACUCUAAAGAGACUGCCGGUGUCAAACCGGAGGAAGGUGGGGAUGACGUCAAGUCCUCAUGGCCUUUAUGACCAGGGCUACACACGUACUACAAUGGCCGGUACAAAGGGCAGCCACUUAGCGAUAAGGAGCCAAUCCCGUAAAGCCGGUCUCAGUCCGGAUUGGAGUCUGCAACUCGACUCCAUGAAGUUGGAAUCGCUAGUAAUCGCAGAUCAGCACGCUGCGGUGAAUACGUUCCCGGGCCUU
rnacentral:rRNA from 1 species